GAUGAACGCUGGCGGCGUGCCUAAUACAUGCAAGUCGAGCGAACAGACGAGGAGCUUGCUCCUCUGACGUUAGCGGCGGACGGGUGAGUAACACGUGGAUAACCUACCUAUAAGACUGGGAUAUCUUCGGGAAACCGGAGCUAAUACCGGAUAAUAUAUUGAACCGCAUGGUUCAAUAGUGAAAGACGGUUUUGCUGUCACUUAUAGAUGGAUCCGCGCCGCAUUAGCUAGUUGGUAAGGUAACGGCUUACCAAGGCAACGAUGCGUAGCCGACCUGAGAGGGUGAUCGGCCACACUGGAACUGAGACACGGUCCAGACUCCUACGGGAGGCAGCAGUAGGGAAUCUUCCGCAAUGGGCGAAAGCUUGACGGAGCAACGCCGCGUGAGUGAUGUAGGUCUUCGGAUCGUAAAACUCUGUUAUUAGGGAAGAACAAAUGUGUAAGUAACUAUGCACGUCUUGACGGUACCUAAUCAGAAAGCCACGGCUAACUACGUG
rnacentral:rRNA from 1 species